UCGUUUUCCUUCUAGUUGUAGCAUCUAGUUAUUCUUUCCCACCCAUGGUUGUUGAAAUGAUUAGUUUAGUGUAGCUUGGUGAAAAGAACACCCAUGAUUGUUCUUUCCCCAAGUUGCAUUAAACGAGUCAUUUGCCGUGAAGACAUGCAGGCCAUCAAGCAUGUUCAGAUCCUGAGGCCAAGACACUCAUAUGUCGAGGCCAGCCAACAGUUUCGUUCGUUCAAGCUAGUCAACCAUGGUUUUCCAUCGAAGUUGAUGAUCAAUUUGGAUAAUAAAGCCUUCAAGUAUCUCAUGCAACCAGUCUCAAGAAAGAUAUAAGGCAGGUGUUUCUAACCCUUGUGACUAUAACAAUAAGAGAAUUGAUACAAAAUGAUGAUGUGGAUUGGAUUGAGUAAUUCUUUCUCUACACCAACCUGAUGUUGUAUCCCUAAGUCACUUCUUCUUUAUGAGCAAAAUCCAGAAAAUUUUAGGUAAUAUAGUUCUUAAAAAAACAAAAAGAAAAAUGUUAAUAUUUUUAACUUAGUUUUGUUAAAAUUGGAAGAAAAAAAAAAAUAUAUAGAAGAGAGGGGAAAAAAUAAACCCACAGAAAUGGAAGAAAAAAAAAACAAAAACCAGGGGACUGUUAUGAUUUUUGUAAUUGAUUACCUAUAAUUUUCUGGGUCGUUUUUGUCAUAAAGGAUAAGUGAUUUUGUGGAUAUGACAUGAGAGUUGGUGUUGAGGAGGAGAUACUCAAGCCAACCCUCAUCACCGUUUGAGCCAAUUCUCUUGCUGCCAUAACCAUAAGGGUCGGGAGGACCUGCCUUAAUUAUCUUUCUUAGACUGUGGUUGCAUGAAAAACUUGAGGGUUUCAUUUUUCAAAUUGGUGACCAAUUCCAAUGGAACUAACACCAUGGUUGAGUAGCUUGAACAAACCAAAGUGUUGGCUGAAAUGGUAUUGGUUGAUCAGAUCUCAUAACAAAUUUCCAAUUGUUGGAUCUAUAUAUUGUGCACAUGAGAUUCGGAUCCAACAACGCUUCAGUACUGCAAAUCUGUGUGGAAGAUGGGACUUGGUUUCAAUCCCACAGGAUCUAACUUCUUUUUGUCAAUGUUGGUGACCUUCGGCAGGGAAUUUAGUUGAAUGAGUACAACCAUGUCAAGAUUCUCAAUUAUCUACUUUGGAAGAACACACUUGAAUGAAAAGAUUCCUGAUUGCUCCUUCACUCGUGCCAAAGGAAGAAGGGAGAGAUCAUUUGUUCUAAGAAUUAACAUGGCAGGAAUACAAGAAUUCUUAAGAAUUCUUUGUAAUUCUUUGUAUUCUUGUAUUCUUUCCAUGUUAAAUCUUCGUACAAACUACAAAGAGGGAUAUAAUUGAGAGAGGAGAAUGGAAAAUCAUGUGUUUUGAGAAAUCUGCUGAUCAGUGAGGAGAAUGCAAAAUCAUGUAUGCUUCAUUGUGAGAGUGUGCAUAUCGGAGUUAGAGUUACUAGUUUCAAAGUCUGCCUUUACGUCAGCAAAUAUCUAAGGGUUCCGUUUAGCAGGUGGGGGUGUUACGAUUGUGGCGGUAGUUUGUUGGCAACCAUGGGUGAAGUAGGCCGGCGCACG